rnacentral:rRNA from 1 species
UACGGAGGGUGCAAACGUUAUCCGGAUUCACUGGGUUUAAAGGGUGCGUAGGUGGUUUUGUAAGUCAGUGGUGAAAGCCCGGAGCUCAACUCCGGAACUGCCAUUGAUACUGCUUAACUUGAAUCAACUUGAGGUGGAUGGAAUAUUACAUGUAGCGGUGAAAUGCUUAGAUAUGUAAUAGAACACCGAUUGCGAAGGCAGUUCACUAAGGUUGUAUUGACACUGAGGCACGAAAGCGUGGGGAUCAAACAGG